rnacentral:rRNA from 1 species
UCGGGAAUUUUGGGCAAUGGGCGAAAGCCUGACCCAGCAACGCCGCGUGAAGGAUGAAGUAUUUCGGUAUGUAAACUUCGUAAGAAUAGGAAGAAUAAAUGACGGUACUAUUUGUAAGGUCCGGCUAACUACGUGCCAGCAGCCGCGGUAAUACGUAGGGACCAAGCGUUGUUCGGAUUUAUUGGGUUUAAAGGGUGCGUAGGCGGUUUAUUAAGUCAGUGGUGAAAGACGGUCGCUCAACGAUUGCAGUGCCAUUGAUACUGGUAGACUUGAGUAUGAUUGAGGUAGCUGGAAUGGAUAGUGUAGCGGUGAAAUGCAUAGAUAUUAUCCAGAACACCAAUUGCGUAGGCAAGUUACUAAGUCAUAACUGACGCUGAGGCACGAAAGUGUGGGUAUCAAACAGGAUUAGAUACCCCGGUAGUCCCUGAGCGGGCUGGCAAGGCGCAU